GAUUGCUGCCUUUGCUAGAUCACAUGUCAGGCCUCAGAAACCACACAAAAGAGCCCUGUUGUUUAAGUUCUGUGUUAGAAGUGCAGGUCCAGCCUUCCAGAAGCAUUCCAAGAUCCUCAGGCUUCAGCUUUCUGCCUCCUUCAGGAAAGUGUCCUUUGCAAAGAGCACUCAAGUCUCUGCUGGAUUCAUGAAUGAGAGAGCAAACAAGGCAAGAAGAUGGCCAUCUGCAAGACAGGAAGAGAGCCCUCACCUGGGAACCAAAUCAGCUGGCACCUUGACCUUGGAUUUCCCAACCUCCAGAACUGUUCCUCUAAAUGUGAAACUCUGGGAAGCACUCAUUUGAAGAGUGUUAGAAACUUUGUGAUGCAGUUCUUUGCCUGAAGAAGUCUUUCGCCUUGAAGCUGAUUUCACAUUUAUAGUUCCGGUGUCUCUAUCUGAA